AUUGAACGCUGGCGGCAGGCCUAACACAUGCAAGUCGAGCGGAUGAAGGGAGCUUGCUCCUGGAUUCAGCGGCGGACGGGUGAGUAAUGCCUAGGAAUCUGCCUGGUAGUGGGGGAUAACGUCCGGAAACGGGCGCUAAUACCGCAUACGUCCUGAGGGAGAAAGGGGGGGAUCUUCGGACCUCACGCUAUCAGAUGAGCCUAGGUCGGAUUAGCUAGUUGGUGGGGUAAAGGCCUACCAAGGCGACGAUCCGUAACUGGUCUGAGAGGAUGAUCAGUCACACUGGAACUGAGACACGGUCCAGACUCCUACGGGAGGCAGCAGUGGGGAAUAUUGGACGAUGGGCGAAAGCCUGAUCCAGCCAUGCCGCGUGUGUGAAGAAGGUCUUCGGAUUGUAAAGCACUUUAAGUUGGGAGGAAGGGCAGUAAGUUAAUACCUUGCUGUUUUGACGUGACCAACAGAAUAAGCACCGGCUAACUUCG
rnacentral:rRNA from 1 species